rnacentral:rRNA from 1 species
GCACGGGGGCACCCCUGGUGGCGAGUGGCGAACGGGUGAGUAAUACAUCGGAACGUGCCCAGCACUGGGGGAUAACUACUCGAAAGAUUAGCUAAUACUGCAUCCGACUUAUGGGUGAAAGCGGGGGACCUUUACCGGCCUCGCGCUAUCGGAGCGGCCGAUGUCUGAUUAGCUAGUUGGCGGGGUAAAAGCCCACCAAGGCGACGAUCAGUAGCUGGUCUGAGAGGACGACCAGCCACACUGGGACUGAGACACGGCCCAGACUCCUACGGGAGGCAGCAGUGGGGAAUUUUGGACAAUGGGCGCAAGCCUGAUCCAGCCAUGCCGCGUGCGGGAAGAAGGCCUUCGGG